UUAUGGUGUAAUCGAAAUGAAGUAGUGUGGAAGGAAAACUCUCGGAUUGUCUCUCAAAUGGUGCACUUGGCUUGUCCCUAUCUGUCCCAGUGGUCAGCGGCUCAAGCAUAUGGCAAUCUAAUCAAUUAUUCCCCUAGGCAAGCAGUGUAUGUUCCCAUUGGUUGCUUCCCUCCAAUGAUUAGCUGAAAUGCAAUGUUGACACUGCACCAUUUAGGAAUUCUAGAAGGCUGGGAUUUGGG
rnacentral:misc_RNA from 1 species